CCUCCAUCACCACAGAAUCUCUGGCCCCAACUUAGCAGAGACAGAACGGACAUCAGCCGGGAAACCCUUUAAAGUUGGGCCACGACAUUAAGACACUGACGUUAAAUAUCAAGGCGAUGUUUGACGCCGACAUGGCGCUUGUCCGAGGGGAAAUCUCCACGCUCUCAAGCCAGGUGGUCUCCGUUGAGGAGUCCCUUGGAGGCGCAAGGGUGGCACAGGUGGCGACAGACACUGUUGUGGGACUGUUACAAAAACAAUAUGCAACACCGACCGCUCAACUAGCGGGAAUGGAGGACAAAACUAAAGCCUGAAACCUGCGAAUCCGGGGUAUGCCUGAAUUGGUGGGAAACCUGGAAUUACCACAAUAUUGUAGGAGACUUG